rnacentral:rRNA from 1 species
AGUGAACGCUGGCGGCAGGCCUAACACAUGCAAGUCGAGCGGCAGCGCGGUGGUAGCAAUACCACUGGCGGCGAGCGGCGGACGGGUGAGGAACACAUCGGAAUCUACCUUUUUGUGGGGGAGUAACGUAGGGAACUUACGCUAAUACGCAUACGAGCGUGCAUCGACAGAUAUGCGCUGAAAGCGGGGCCCGAGCAAUGGCCUCGCGCGGAUUGANGAGCC